UUCAUUGUGCUCUUGUUGCGUGCGGUCCCAUUUAUUUGUUUUGCAUUUGUCUUCUUCAACUGAACUUGUCACUCUCUCUCUCUUCAAUGGCUUCCUUUUCUCUCACCUCCUCGUCUCCUACCCUUCACAAAGCCACCAUCAUCGACCCUUCUUCUUCUUCUUCUUCUUCUUCUUCUUCUUCUCAUGCCUUCCCUCACCGUCCCCCCUUCGUUUUGCGAAUGCCCCACCAACCCCGUCGCCUUCAAACCCCUCUUGUUUUGCCCAAGAUUCAAUCUUUGCGCCACAAAACUAGAGCUACACCAGUUACCAAAGACUUGUGGGAUAAUUCCAUUCUGAAAAGUGAAACCCCAGUCCUUGUUAUAUUCUACGCAAAUUGGUGCGGCCCGUGCAGGAUGGUUCACCGGAUAAUAGACGAGAUUGCAACUGAGUAUGCUGGGAAACUCAAGUGCUUUAUAGUCAACACAGACACUGACAUGCAAAUUGCUGAAGACUAUGAAAUUAAGGCUGUACCAGUGGUUUUGAUGUUUAAAAAUGGUGAGAAAUGUGAUUCUGUAAUUGGUACCAUGCCGAAGGAGUUUUAUGUGGCUGCUAUUGAGAGGGUGCUCAAGUCGUAAUCAUGGAUCAAUGCGGGCAAAACCUCAGUGAAGGGAGUGAACUUUUUGUCCAUUUUCAGUUAAAUUUUCUGUUAGUUUGUCUGACUACGAAGCAUGCUGAGUUCUUGUACAUAUUUUGGUUCCUUUUUUUUUUUCCAUAAUAGGCGCGGCCAUGUGAGACUGCUUUCGUAAUGAUCCACUUUCAAUCUCUAUAAUUUCCUUUGAAAAAUCUUGUUCAGCUAUAGAGAAUAUCAUAGUUGAAAUUUAAGUGUUCCUUUGGUACUUGAUUCGAACAGUUUUAUUCUGGAGGUUGCUUCAAAUUCCAGCAGAAGUGAAGGAAAAGAAUGAUAAGGACGAUUCCACAUAAAAUAAUAUCAACUCUGCCUUGACUAAUAGCUAGAGAUCUCGGUUCUAUUUGUUUUAAGUUUUUAUAUAGCAAAAAGAUUACAUAUGUUAACAAAAAGACUUAACAUGGGUAAAAAGGUCUUUUUCAUAGUUUGUUUUAGGCUUUAUUCAACAUUGAGCCGGACUUGUACUUAAGGUCUUAGAUUAAGUCCUAAUGGAGGAUAAAUUAUGUAUUA